GGAGAGAUGGUAGAGCGGUCGAUUACAACGGUCUUGAAAACCGUCGUACCGAGAGGUACCGGGGGUUCGAAUCCCUCUCUCUCCGCUA
rnacentral:tRNA from 1 species